rnacentral:rRNA from 1 species
UGAACGCUAGCGAUAGGCCUAACACAUGCAAGUCGAGGGGCGAUCACAUGAAGUAGCAAUACGGAUGGUGGCGACCGGCGCACGGGUGAGUAACACGUAUGCAACCUGCCUUCAACAAGGGGAUAACCGUUGAAAGACGGACUAAUACCCUAUAAUACAGGGGCCCCGCAUGGGGAUAUUUGUUAAAGAUUUAUCGGUUGAAGAUGGGCAUGCGUUCCAUUAGCUGGUUGGUGGGGUAACGGCCCACCAAGGCAACGAUGGAUAGGGGAACUGAGAGGUUUAUCCCCCCACACUGGUACUGAGACACGGACCAGACUCCUACGGGAGGCAGCAGUGAGGAAUAUUGGUCAAUGGACGCAAGUCUGAACCAGCCACGUCCGCGUGAAGGAAGACGGCCCUACGGGUUGUAAACUUCUUUUGCAAGGGAAUAAAGUGCAGUACGCGUACUGUUUUGCAAGUACCUUGCGAAUAAGGAUCGGCUAACUCCGUGCCAGCCGCCGC